rnacentral:rRNA from 1 species
CACUCCUACGGGAGGCAGCAGUGGGGAAUAUUGGACAAUGGGCGCAAGCCUGAUCCAGCCAUGCCGCGUGAGUGAUGAAGGCCCUAGGGUUGUAAAGCUCUUUCACCGGUGAAGAUAAUGACGGUAACCGGAGAAGAAGCCCCGGCUAACUUCGUGCCAGCAGCCGCGGUAAUACGAAGGGGGCUAGCGUUGUUCGGAUUUACUGGGCGUAAAGCGCACGUAGGCGGACUAUUAAGUCAGGGGUGAAAUCCCGGGGCUCAACCCCGGAACUGCCUUUGAUACUGGUAGUCUUGAGUUCGAGAGAGGUGAGUGGAAUUCCGAGUGUAGAGGUGAAAUUCGUAGAUAUUCGGAGGAACACCAGUGGCGAAGGCGGCUCACUGGCUCGAUACUGACGCUGAGGUGCGAAAGCGUGGGGAGCAAACAGGAUUAGAUACCCCAGUAGUCCC